AUCGAACGCUGGCGGCAGGCCUAAUACAUGCAAGUCGAGCGAGCGGCGGACGGGUGCGUAAUGUCUGGGAAACUGCCAGAUGGAGGGGGAUAACUACUGGAAACGGUAGCUAAUACCGCAUACCAUCAGCUGUGCCCAGAUGGGAUGAGCUAGUAGGUGGGGGAAUGGCUCACCUAGGCGACGAUCCCUAGCUGGUCUGAGAGGAUGACCAGCCAAACUGGAACUGAGACACGGGCCAGACGCCUACGGGAGGCAGCAGUGGGGAAUAUUGCACAAUGGGCGCAAGCCUGAUACAGCCAUGCCGCGUGUGUGAAGAAGGCCUUCGGGUUGUAAAGCACUUUCAGCGGGGAGGCGUUACUCGCAGAAGAAGCACCGGCUAACUCCGUGCCAGCAGCCGCGGUAAUUC
rnacentral:rRNA from 1 species